rnacentral:rRNA from 1 species
AAAUUGAAGAGUUUGAUCAUGGCUCAGAUUGAACGCUGGCGGCAGGCCUAACACAUGCAAGUCGAACGGUAACAGGAAGAAGCUUGCUUCUUUGCUGACGAGUGGCGGACGGGUGAGUAAUGUCUGGGAAACUGCCUGAUGGAGGGGGAUAACUACUGGAAACGGUAGCUAAUACCGCAUAACGUCGCAAGACCAAAGAGGGGGACCUUCGGGCCUCUUGCCAUCGGAUGUGCCCAGAUGGGAUUAGCUAGUAGGUGGGGUAACGGCUCACCUAGGCGACGAUCCCUAGCUGGUCUGAGAGGAUGACCAGCCACA